rnacentral:rRNA from 1 species
GAUGAACGCUAGCGGCAGGCUUAACACAUGCAAGUCGAGGGGUAGAGGAAGCUUGCUUCCUUGAGACCGGCGCACGGGUGCGUAACGCGUAUACAAUCUACCUUUUACAGAGGGAUAGCCCCAGAGAAAUUUGGAUUAAUACCUCAUAGUAUUUUCGGAUCGCAUGAUUUGAUUAUUAAAGUUCCAACGGUAAAAGAUGAGUAUGCGUCCCAUUAGCUAGAUGGUAAGGUAACGGCUUACCAUGGCAAUGAUGGGUAGGGGUCCUGAGAGGGAGAUCCCCCACACUGGUACUGAGACACGGACCAGACUCCUACGGGAGGCAGCAGUGAGGAAUAUUGGACAAUGGGCGCAAGCCUGAUCCAGCCAUGCCGCGUGCAGGAAUAAGGUCCUAUGGAUUGUAAACUGCUUUAUACAGGAAGAAACACACCCUCGUGAGGGUACUUGACGGUACUGUAUGAAUAAGGACCGGCUAACUCCGUGCCAGCAGCCGCGGUAAA